GACGAACGCUGGCGGCGUGCUUAACACAUGCAAGUCGAACGGAAAGGCCCUGCUUUUGUGGGGUGCUCGAGUGGCGAACGGGUGAGUAACACGUGAGUAACCUGCCCUUGACUUUGGGAUAACUUCAGGAAACUGGGGCUAAUACCGGAUAGGAGCUCCUGCUGCAUGGUGGGGGUUGGAAAGUUUCGGCGGUUGGGGAUGGACUCGCGGCUUAUCAGCUUGUUGGUGGGGUAGUGGCUUACCAAGGCUUUGACGGGUAGCCGGCCUGAGAGGGUGACCGGCCACAUGGGGAGGGGGGUGCGGCCAAAACUCCUACGGGAGGAAGGAGGGGGGAAUAUGGCAAAAGGGGCGGAGGCCUGAUGGAGCAACGCCGGGUGGGGAAGGACGGCCUUCGGGUGGGAAACCCUUUUCCCCGGUGACGAAGGGGGAGUGACGGUAAUGGGAAAAAAAGCACCGGCUAACUACGU
rnacentral:rRNA from 1 species